UGGGGAAUCUUGCGCAAUGGGCGAAAGCCUGACGCAGCAACGCCGCGUGCGGGAUGAAGGCCUUAGGGUUGUAAACCGCUUUUAACAGGAACGAAAAUGACGGUACCUGUAGAAUAAGGUGCGGCCAACUACGUGCCAGCAGCCGCGGUGACACGUAGGCACCAAGCGUUGUCCGGAUUUAUUGGGCGUAAAGAGCUCGUAGGCGGUUCAGUAAGUCGGGUGUGAAAACUCUGGGCUUAACCCAGAGACGCCACUCGAUACUAUUGUGACUAGAGUUCGGUAGGGGAGCGGGGAAUUCCUAGUGUAGCGGUGAAAUGCGCAGAUAUUAGGAGGAACACCGGUGGCGAAGGCGCCGCUCUGGGCCGAUACUGACGCUGAGGAGCGAAAGCGUGGGUAGCAAACAGG
rnacentral:rRNA from 1 species